rnacentral:lncRNA from 12 species
AUGAAGAAAACCAGGUUCAAGCCAGGGCGAGAGACCAGUUUGGGUUUCCUGGGUCCAGACCUGCAUUGGUCUUUCUGCAAAGAAGGAGAUGGGAGUCCUGGUGAAGUGGAUCCUCUUUUUCACUGGCCAACACGCUUCCACGGACCACAGAGAUUUCAUCACUCUGGCCGGAUGAUGAUGACGAUGAUGACGAUGGUGAUGCUAGCAAACCUACCUGGGGGGCUCUCCAUGCUUUGUGGCCUUUGGUCUUCAUCAGUUUGCCCUGUGGUGGCCUGGCUGUGGAAUCCCUGCUCAUGUUGUCCAAGCCAGCGAGCCAGAGAGCAGAGGAACUGGGUAGGAGUAGAGACAGGGCUCCUUGCACUGCAAAUACCUUCUGCUCCACAAUCACAACUGCACUUGUGCCAAGUUCUGAGUCUGCUUGGCUUUUGAGGGUACUGAGCUUGGAGCUGAAGUCGGCUGCCCCUUUGGAAUCAGAAUUUGGUUUCCUCUUGGAAAAAGUCUACUUCCUGAUUGCUCAAGAAAGAGAAGAACAUUUUUAA